UUCAGCAUUCUUGCCCUGCCUUCAGUCUGCCAACUGGCUUGGUUGACAACGGCUGGUGACCCAAGGAGCUGCUGAUAGACGCGUACUAGCCAUCUCUCAACAACUUCUUGAAUCAGCUAUUUCCACAGGUGUUCGAAAGAAGAUGAGUUUUUACAGAAGGCUUCGUUCCUUUUUCCAAAGACUCGCCUCUAGGGAGCACAGAGAGAUCCGUGUGCACAAAGUGCUUGUCCAACCUGUAGCAAUGGGGGCAUGCUCUGACAUUAGCCAGCAAGAACAGGCCUUGCCAGAGAAGCCCCAGAGAAGGAAAUGUUCAUGGUCCAUCCUGUCAGGCAUGAAAAGACUCUGUGUCUGUAGCCAAUCUGACACCUCGAUGGCAGACAGGGAUGAGGAGAGAACAAUUUCCUCACAAAGAAGGUGGAGGCACUUGUCCCGGAAGAAGAUAGCAGCUGAGAACCAGGUGGAGUCAGAGGAGGUGAAGCUGCAGGAGGAUACAGGGAAAGUUGAACUGGAUCCUACAGGGACGAAGAAGGAGGCGUCGGAGUCGCAGGGGAAGUGGGAAAAAGGGAGCCCAGAAGAGCAGGAAGAAGAGCGCACUCCCACCCCCUCAUUACCACGCAGCUCCCAUAUGACCAUGACCCCCGGGGAGCAGCUUCCCUCAGCCCAGCUCCAAGCCCUGCUGAUGAGAGCCGUGAAGGGUCUGACGACACCCACCCUGGAGCGAUUUCAAGCCGCCGAGGAAGAGCUGAGGACCAUCGUAUCUCUACACGGAGACAAGAUGGAGAGAGUUGGAGACGUCGUGGGACGUAUCUUAAUCUGGCUGGACAACGUCUGUCAUCCCAGAGCCAGAAAAGCAGCACUGAGGGCCACGGCCUUGCUGGCUCGUUCCCACCCCCAGGACGUGGUUCUGAGCUGUGUGGCGCACACGCUGUCCUCGGACAGAUGUGCCAUUGAGCUGUGGAAGGCCUUGGGGGAAGAACCACAGCUCCCCAGGGAGGUGCUGCGGCAGCUGCUGGACAAGCUCCAGCAGAGAUGCCGGGAGGAGAAGAGCGGCAAUGUGUCCCUGGCUGCAAUGAGGACCAUUUACGAGGUCCUUUUCCUAUGGGGAUACCGAGAAGCCAUCCUGGAAAUGUAUCCCCAGAUGCUCAUUCUCUGCGUCAGGCAAGUGCAGUAUGUGAUGGAUCUGCACUUGCCAGGGACCUACAUGGCCAGCACGACAUCCAGCCCCAAGGAGGGAUCCAGCUGCCUCAACCCCCUAAGCACAUCGGUGGAGGCUGUGAAGACUCUUUUUUCCAUGCCCGGAUACUGGAAGGAAUUUGCCAGCAUCCAAUUUCAGCAGGGUUGGGACAUGAUAUCUUCACGAUAUUACUAUUCGCAAGGUGUUGGCCUGAUUGCAAGAGCCAUGAUAGAGUUUGAGAACCCUCAGCUCCCUGCCGUCUUCAGAGAGGCCGUCACCAUUGUCCAGAGGGAGAAGGAGGAGGAGCAGAGAAAUAUCGCCAUGACUUUCUGCACUGAGUUUCUCCAGAGUCCUUCCAUUGAUUCAAUAAUGACAAAAUCAGAGCUCCAGGCGCAGCUCAUGGAAUGGACCCAAGAUAAAAAUCCCAUUGUACGUCGGCUCAGUCUGCGAGGCCUUGGCAGUAUUGUGCUCCAGCCAGAAAAGGUGCAAUCGUUACGGGCCCAGCUGCCAGCGAUCAUGGACAUGUUCUGUGACAAGGACGGAGUGCGUGUCAUGGGGGCCAUGCAUCAAGCUGGACACAUCAUCUACCUCCUGAAUGGGGAGGGGCUUGGAUCCAUCUCCCAGGACAUUGCAGUCAGCCUUCGCCCCUUCAUUGAUGACGAGAGGGGCAGUGUGCGCUCCGCUGCCAUUUUACUGCUUGGCAACGUGGUGAGCAGCGUGAAGGACCCGGACAAACCCAUCGUGCAGCAGGAAAUGAUCCACUGCUUGCUCCCGCUGCUGCUGCAUCUUGAAGACCGGGAUGAGAGUGUGACACUGCGAUGCAAACUGACGCUCUUCCGCUGCGCAGUGUUUCUCAGGUGGGCUCAUUUGAAGAUGCUGUUCCGCAGCAUGGCCUGGGAUGGCUCCACACAGCUCAUGAAGUGUACCUGGAAGUGCUUGAUGCAGAACAACAAGAGCCACAUCCCCAAAUUCCUGUUCCAGGCCUUAGAGUACCUGGAAAGCUCACAGACAACAAUCAGACAUUCUGCAGCCCUGUUCAUUGGAAAUACUAUCCACCAUUACUGUGACUUGUUGUCUGAAACAGUGACUGAAGAUGGCAUCUCCCGCCUGUAUGAAGCUUUUCAGGAAGUGCCUUUGACAUCUGACAGCACCACAGGGCACAUCCUCAAUAGAUAUUACAAAUGGCUGCAGAAGCUUAGAAAUCUCGUGUCGGGUUCCGCAUUCGACUAGGGAACGGGACCGACACAGAAGACCUCUUUGUCCUGCUAUGGUACGUACAACAGCGUCUUUGGAACAAGGACUGAACAACGAGGUGGAUACUGGCAGAUGACAGACAAUUGUGUAGACAUCUAGAGGCUAACAGGAGCCAACUGAGCCCACCACUGAUCACACCUCUUGGGAGACGGCAAAGCAGCUGUUGCAUGGGAAGGAGGAGAGAGAAGAGGCAGAGCAGGAUGUGCCGGGGUGCACCAGUCACACAUAACCUCACAGUCUAGGUGGAGGAAGCCAAGCCCCUCCCCAGCCCUGCCGCACAUGCUACAACUGGAGCACCAGUGUGAAAGGGAGCAGCUCAGCUCGGUCUAGGCAGAUGCCGAAAAUGGAGGAUGCACAUUGUAGGCUCCAUUCCAGAAGCAGCUGAAGCCCCUGACUGCAGAGCCCCGAGGUGCCGAGACCCAACCCCAUCCCCGGGUGCCUGCAGACGUGCAAGGGAGCUCGGAGUCUCUGGGAGAUUCCCACCCCGGGAGCCCAGAGACCCCCAGCCCAUGGCCUAGAGACAUCUCGUAGGAAGUAACCUGGGAGAACUAGCCACCGUCAUGCUGAGUGACGUCAGAUGUUCUGGCUGGAUCCCCACUGACUCAGUGCCAAACACACUGGCCAUGGACAAGGCCCUGGGGUAGGACCUGGAGGGGAGUAACGAGGGCCUGAAUCCCCCUACCCUGGCCACCAUCCAUCCUUGGGUGGCAGCCCACCUCCCCAAUGUGCCACUAGACUGCACAACCCCAAGAGGAGGGGCGGCCAUCUUGUCUCUGAACUCUUAGCCAAACAGCCCUGCGCUGAAGGGCAGUGAUAUAGACUCUGGUCGUUGGGCCACACAGCACUGAGGGAGAGAGCAGCCAUAUUGUCUGGAGCCAUCGGGCCACACAGGCAUGAGAGACAGGAUAGCAGCACGGACUCUGGUCUCUGGGCCCCACAGCCCCGACGGGGAGGGCGGCCGCACGGACUCUGGUCGUCGGGCCACACAGCCCCGCCGGAGAGGGCGGCCGCACGGACUCUGGUCGUUGGGCCCCACA